rnacentral:lncRNA from 1 species
AUGUUAUGACCGGCUUGGCCUAUAGCCGGCGGAGGCCCACUGGGCGUUAAUAUUAGGGGCUUGGCCCGCAAGUUAUCUUAGGCAAAUUACUUUAGGAAAGUUAUCUUAGGCUCGAGUUAUAAAUACUAGUUGUAAGACAUCAAUUGAGAUCAAGCAAUAAAGAUAUUAUCUUCUGUUGCCCGGCUCCCCAAGGAGCCGGAACCCUAGCCUCCGCCGCGCCCAGCCCUAGCCGCGACGGCGCCCUCUCGCCGGCGCGUCCGCUCCAGCCCUCGCUCCCCUCCUCCUUGCCCAUACAAUCUACGCCGGAGGCCCGGUAGGAACC